GCUGGGCAAGGUGGUGCACGCCUGUAAUCCUAGCAGCUUGGGAGGCUGGGCAGGAGGAUCACAAGUUCAAAGCCACCCUCAGCAACAGUGAGGCACUAAAGCAACUCAGUGAGACCCUGUCUCU
rnacentral:sRNA from 1 species